GACGAACGCUGGCGGCGUGCUUAACACAUGCAAGUCGAGCGGAGCGGCGAACGGGUGAGUAACGCGUGAGUAACUGCCCCCCUCUCUGGGAUAACAGUUGGAAACGGCUGCUAAUACCGGAUAGUGGGGGAUGACUCGCGUCCUAUCAGCUUGUUGGUGGGGUAGUGGCCUACCAAGGCGACGACGGGUAGCCGGCCUGGGAGGGGGACCGGCCACAUUGGUCUACGGUACGGCCCAGACUCCAACGGGGGGCAGCGGUGGGGAGUAUUGCACAAUGGGGGAGACCCUGAUGCAGCAGCGCCGGGGGCGGAAUGACGGCCUACGGGUUGUAAACCGCUUUCGGCCAUGACGCGGUAGUGGCAGAAGAAGCACCGGCUAACUACGUGCCAGCAGCCGCGGUAAUAC
rnacentral:rRNA from 1 species